GCGUCGGUUUAUACCC
rnacentral:rRNA from 2 species